CCUACGGGCGGCAGCAGUGGGGAAUAUUGGACAAUGGGCGAAAGCCUGAUCCAGCCAUGCCGCGUGUGUGAAGAAGGCCUUCGGGUUGUAAAGCACUUUCAGUGGGGAAGAAAGCCUUGGGGCUAAUGCCCUCGAGGAAGGACAUCACCCACAGAAGAAGCACCGGCUAACUCCGUGCCAGCAGCCGCGGUAAUACGGAGGGUGCGAGCGUUAAUCGGAAUUACUGGGCGUAAAGCGCGCGUAGGCGGUCUGAUAAGCCGGUUGUGAAAGCCCCGGGCUCAACCUGGGAACGGCAUCCGGAACUGUCAGGCUAGAGUGCAGGAGAGGAAGGUAGAAUUCCCGGUGUAGCGGUGAAAUGCGUAGAGAUCGGGAGGAAUACCAGUGGCGAAGGCGGCCUUCUGGACUGACACUGACGCUGAGGUGCGAAAGCGUGGGUAGCAAACAGGAUUAGAUACCCUGGUAGUC
rnacentral:rRNA from 1 species